GGAAGGAUGGCCGAGUGGUUUAAGGCGCCUGUCUUGAAAACAGGUGUAGGGCAACCUACCGUGGGUUCGAAUCCCUCUCCUUCCG
rnacentral:tRNA from 1 species